rnacentral:rRNA from 1 species
UACGAAGGGGGCUAGCGUUGUUCGGAUUUAUUGGGCGUAAAGCGCGCGCAGGCGGCUAGUUAAGUCAGAUGUGAAAGGCUGCGGCUCAACCGCAGAGCUGCAUCUGAAACUGAUUAGCUUGAGUGCAGGAGAGGAUAGUGGAAUUCCCGGUGUAGCGGUGGAAUGCGUAGAGAUCGGGAGGAACACCAGUGGCGAAGGCGACUGUCUGGACUGUAACUGACGCUGAGGCGCGAAAGCGUGGGGAGCAAACAGG